rnacentral:rRNA from 1 species
UACAGAGGGGGCAAGCGUUGUUCGGAAUUACUGGGCGUAAAGGGCGCGUAGGCGGCCUGCUAAGUCGAACGUGAAAUCCCUGGGCUCAACCCAGGAACUGCGUCCGAUACUGGUUGGCUUGAAUCCGGGAGAGGGACGUGGAAUUCCAGGUGUAGCGGUGAAAUGCGUAGAUAUCUGGAGGAACACCCGUGGCGAAGGCGGCGCCCUGGUCCGUUACUGACGCUGAGACGCGAAAGCGCGGGGAGCGAACGGG